GACCGCGUAGCUCAGUUGGCUGAGCAUUGGGCUAGUAUUCCAAAGGUCGUAGGUUCGAUUCCCACCGUGGCCA
rnacentral:tRNA from 1 species